rnacentral:rRNA from 1 species
CGGCAACAGCUCAAAUUUGAAAUCUGGCUCUCGGGCCCGAGUUGUAAUUUGUAGAGGAUACUUUUGAUGCGGUGCCUUCCGAGUUCCCUGGAACGGGACGCCAUAGAGGGUGAGAG